GAUCUGCCUCAGAGUGGGGGAUAACGACCCGAAAGGGUCGCUAAUACCGCAUAACAUCCUGCCUUUGGAUAGGUGGUGAUCAAAGUUGGGGAUCCGCAAGGACCUGACGCUUGGAGAGGAGCCCGCGGCCGAUUAGCUAGUUGGUGAGGUAACGGCUCACCAAGGCAACGAUCGGUAUCCGGCCUGAGAGGGCGGACGGACACACUGGGACUGAGACACGGCCCAGACUCCUACGGGAGGCAGCAGUGGGGAAUUGUUCGCAAUGGGCGCAAGCCUGACGACGCAACGCCGCGUGGAG
rnacentral:rRNA from 1 species